AUGUUGAUGCAAGACUAUUUCGCGGAGAAUCCUACAUAUCCUCCGCACCUCUUCCGGAGGAGGUACCGAAUGUGCCGAUCUCUCUUUGUGAAAAUUGUUGAAGCUUGCGAGGCAAAUUGCCGGUAUUUUACUCAAAGAAGAAAUGCUAUGGGCUUAAAGGGAUUUAGUGCAUAUCAAAAAAUAUGUGCAGCUAUGCGGGUGAUUGCAUAUGGCGUUCCGGCUGACUAUGCCGAUGAAGAUAGCACAAUUGAGUCUGUGCGUAGAUUUGCGAAAGUGAUCAUCCGUGUCUUCGCUCCUGAGUAUCUUCGGGCACCAAUGAAGAUGACACAAAGAAAUUGA
rnacentral:rRNA from 1 species